UACGAAGGGUGCUAGCGUUGUUCGGAAUUACUGGGCGUAAAGCGCGCGUAGGCGGCUAUUCAAGUCAGAGGUGAAUCCCUGGGCUCAACCCAGGAAUUGCCUUUGAAACUGUAUAGCUUGAGUGUCGGAGGGGAUAGCGGAAUUGCUAAUGUAGAGGUGAAAUUCGUAGAUAUUAGCAGGAACACCGGUGGCGAAGGCGGCUAUCUGGACGACAACUGACGCUGAGGCGCGAAAGCGUGGGGAUCAAACAGG
rnacentral:rRNA from 1 species